CCUAAGCACCACAUCCACAUGUCUUUUCAAUACCUCCAGAGUUGGGGACUGGACCACUUCCCUAAGCAGCCUGUUCCAUUCCUUGGCAAGCCUUUCAAGCUUUCAUGGUGUUGACCUGUGUGAGGAAUUCCAGCUCUUCAUGGAUCAAGGGAAGAUGGGACACCUUACAUUUUGCACUGAUUCUCACUGAAUUUGCAUUGACCCAGACUCUGCACAGUCAAUAAUGCAGGCCCAUUCUUGUGUUCUUUCAUAAUCUCAUGAUGCAAGGAGCCCCAAACUGCAAAUUAGAGUAAAUAGAAGGAAAUUUUCCAACUUGCAAAUAUAAAUCAGUCUGUGUUGUACCAAU